rnacentral:tRNA from 1 species
GCCGGCGUGGCGGAACGGCAGACGCGGCGGACUCAAAAUCCGCUGUCCUCACGGGCAUGAGGGUUCAAGUCCCUCCGCCGGCA